rnacentral:rRNA from 1 species
GAUGAACGCUAGCUACAGGCUUAACACAUGCAAGUCGAGGGGAAACGACAUCGAAAGCUUGCUUUUGAUGGGCGUCGACCAGCGCACGGGUGAGUAACGCGUAUCCAACCUGCCAACCAAUUGGGGAUAACCUUGCGAAAGUAAGACUAAUACCCAAUGAUAUCUCUAGAAGCCAUCUGAAAGAGAUUAAAGAGUUAACGGUGAUGGAAGGGGAUGCGUCUGAUUAGCUUGUUGGCGGGGUAAGGGCCCACCAAGGCUACGAUCAGUAGGGGUUCUGAGAGGAAGGUCCCCCACAUUGGAACUGAGACACGGUCCAAACUCCUACGGGAGGCAGCAGUGAGGAAUAUUGGUCAAUGGACGAGAGUCUGAACCAGCCAAGUAUCGUGCAGGAUGACGGCCCUAUGGGUUGUAAACUGCUUUUAUAAGGGGAUAAAGUGAGUCUCGUGAGACUUUUUGCAUGUACCUUAUGAAUAAGGACCGGCUAAUUCCGUGCCAGCCGCCGCAGUAA